rnacentral:rRNA from 1 species
UACGUAGGGUGCAAGCGUUGUCCGGAAUUAUUGGGCGUAAAGAGCUCGUAGGCGGUCUGUCGCGUCGGCUGUGAAAACCUGGGGCUCAACCCCGGGCCUGCAGCCGAUACGGGCAAGCUAGAAUUCGGUAGGGGAGACUGGAAUUCCUGGUGUAGCGGUGAAAUGCGCAGAUAUCAGGAGGAACACCGGUGGCGAAGGCGGGUCUCUGGGCCGAUAUUGACGCUGAGGAGCGAAAGCGUGGGGAGCGAACAGG